rfam:Cyanothece sp. PCC 7822, complete genome.
AAUUGUGUGAGGAGUGAGAAGAAAGACAGAGCCUUUGAAGUCGAAACAUGGCAAGACUUUCAAGGGCUUUUUCAU